GGAGCAUACCGCGUGAGGGAUGAAGGAUUUUGGUCUGUAAACCUCUUUUCUCAAGAAAGAAGUUCUGACGGUACUUGAGGAAUAAGCAUCGGCUAACUCCGUGCCAGCAGCCGCGGUAAU
rnacentral:rRNA from 1 species